ACACUCCUGCGGGAGGCAGCAGUGGGGAAUUUUGGACAAUGGGCGAAAGCCUGAUCCAGCAAUGCCGCGUGAGUGAAGAAGGCCUUCGGGUUGUAAAGCUCUUUUGUCAGGGAAGAAACGGUGAAAGCUAAUAUCUUUUGCUAAUGACGGUACCUGAAGAAUAAGCACCGGCUAACUACGUGCCAGCAGCCGCGGUAAUACGUAGGGUGCAAGCGUUAAUCGGAAUUACUGGGCGUAAAGCGUGCGCAGGCGGUUUUGUAAGUCUGAUGUGAAAUCCCCGGGCUCAACCUGGGAAUUGCAUUGGAGACUGCAAGGCUAGAAUCUGGCAGAGGGGGGUAGAAUUCCACGUGUAGCAGUGAAAUGCGUAGAUAUGUGGAGGAACACCGAUGGCGAAGGCAGCCCCCUGGGUCAAGAUUGACGCUCAUGCACGAAAGCGUGGGGAGCAAACAGGAUUAGAAACCCGAGUAGUCCCAUGA
rnacentral:rRNA from 1 species